rnacentral:rRNA from 1 species
UACGUAGGUGGCAAGCGUUGUCCGGAAUUAUUGGGCGUAAAGGGCGUGUAGGCGGCAAGGCAAGUCUGAAGUGAAAGUUCACAGCUCAACUGUGAAAGUGCUUUGGAAACUGUUUAGCUAGAGUGUCGGAGAGGAAAGUGGAAUUCCAUGUGUAGCGGUGAAAUGCGUAGAGAUAUGGAGGAACACCAGUGGCGAAGGCGACUGUCUGGUCUGUAACUGACACUGAGGCGCGAAAGCGUGGGGAGCAAACAGG